UACGUAGGGUGCAAGCGUUAUCCGGAAUCACUGGGCGUAAAGCGUGCGUAGGCGGAAGCUUAAGUGUGAUGUUAAAUCGUGUGGCUCAACCAUAUCGAUGCAUCGCAUACUGGGUUUCUAGAGGACGGCAGAGGCAAGUGGAACCUGUAGUGUAGCAGUGAAAUGCGUAGAUAUUACGAAGAACACCAAUGGCGAAGGCAGCUUGCUGGGCCGCCCCUGACGCUGAGGCACGAAAGCGUGGGGAGCGAACAGG
rnacentral:rRNA from 1 species